AAAACAAUUCAGGGGGUGGUCUUCUUCCUUCAAAAACUUUCACCUGCAGUCAAAAGUGGCGCAGCAGGCCAAAUCCAGACUGAAUUCCUGGUUUGUAGUCCGGCAGGGAGGAGUAGCCUUUCGCCCCCCGCCCCGGCCUACUGGCCCAAGCCUGGCUGCUCCUUGGCCUGAAGUGGCCCAGAUUCAAGGGCAGAGCAGCCUUCGCCUUAAGGCGUAACUUGCGCUUCUUCUCCUCUGAAACCUGACCGGCUUCUAGCGUCCUAAAGCAGGAAGCGCUCGCUUUCGCUCCGAUUUUGGCUUCGUCUCGCCCGCAGUACUGGAGCCGGCAAGCCUUGGGCACCUGACGCAUCAGGGCCGGCCCACACCCUCCGGCGCCUGCCUUGAGCCACUCGGUUUGCAACUCCCGGCUCCCCUGCCGGCAGCGUCUCUUGGAGAACAGCUGAUCUGGGGCGGGGAAGGCAUCGGCUCCUCUGGGCUUUGCUGCGGCCAGGAAAUUCCGCGCCCGAUCCCGCCUGGCAAAAGAUCCGCUGCGCUCUGGCUGGGGGGCGGAAAGGAGGGGGAGAGAAAUCGACUGGAGUAAAUCUUUCUUCCUUGCCUGCCUGCCUUCCCAGCCCUCCUCCUCCUCCUCCUCCUUUCCUCCUCCUCCUCCCUGCCUGGCGGAGCGGCUUGUCGAAGAAGCCAGCUCGCUGCUGCUUUGGUGCCGCUGCGACCGCCUGUGAUCAAACUGAUCAUGAAGGAACCCGAGGAGAGGAAGGACAACAGCAGCCCAGGAGCAAAUCCCUGCCGCUGCCGCUGCCGCCGCCGCCGCGGCUGUUACCCCGGUUGCUUCCCAUCCGCUCCUCUUCUGGGCUGCGGCGCUCUGGAUUGGGGGAUCAGAUUACAGACAACCCCAGUGAAGGGGUGACCCAACCAAGCUGGCGACGGCAUUGAAGUUUCUCUUCACUAUAUUUUGGGAGUGAAUUGGUGAAAGGAGAGAGAGAGAAAAAAAAGAGGGUGAAAAGGGGGGAGAUCUCGCACCCUGGCUUCCCCAUCGUGAAGGAAAGAGAGAAGAAAACCCAUCACAUCGGUUUAUUCUCCGGCAACUGCUGCUAUUGGCCAUGAAGAGAAAACAGAAAAGGUUUCUGCAAAUGACAUUGUUGUUUGCAGUGACUCUGAUUUUCCUGCCCAAUAUUGGACUCUGGUCUCUGUACAGGGAGAAGCACCUGGUAAAGUCGGCCAUUCUGGGAGAGCAGCAGGUAAGUAAGAAGGAUCACAUGGCGAAGCAGCCAGGAGCAAGGAGUGUGUGUUGUGCAGAUGUGAAACAUCUGUUUUAGGUGCCAUAAAAAGGCUAGGCAGACUGGGAUGCAUCCUUUUUGUUUGAGGCUGUCGUGAACCAGAGCUGAGAAAUGUUACAUUUCUGGACUACAACUCCCACAAUCCUCCAUCCAGCUAGGAGGUAUAAUCCAGAAGGAAAAAAGAGAGAGAGAAGGGCAUUUCUCAGUCCUGUAUUGAAGAUGUUCUCCAGAGAUGGGUAAAGGAAGAGGAGAACCUGGUUCUCCUGGAGCUGCCAGUUCAGGUGAAUGACAAGCAACUCUUUGGCUGAGAGUGAGAAAGUUCCAAAAGGCUGGCUUGUUGGACUUGUGCAAACAAAUCUUUGAGGCUCUUGCAUGGGUGUAAGAUGAAAGCUGCUUUUCUUCCUUCUCUAGUAGUCAUAAGCUGUUUUCUGUGAUGGGGCUAGAUUUCUGUUCCAGAGUUUGGAUACAGGUGUACUGUAUAUAACUGUGUGUAAGAAGUUUCAGUGGAACUUGGUGCUCUGUCAAGAUGUGUUCAUACGCUGCAAUUGUGUUGAAUCCCUUCAUUGUUAGCCUAUAAAAGUGGAAUUCCAUGAAAGAACUACUUUGUGUUUGAACACAUGGGGACCAUCUCAGAUUUCUUUGCACUGUUCAUUGUG
ensembl:lncRNA